rnacentral:rRNA from 1 species
GAUGAACGCUAGCGGCAGGCUUAACACAUGCAAGUCGAGGGGUAGAAGGAGCUUGCUCCUUUGAGACCGGCGCACGGGUGCGUAACGCGUAUGCAAUCUACCUUGUACAGGGGGAUAGCCCAGAGAAAUUUGGAUUAAUACCCCAUAGUGUAAUGAAUAGGCAUCUAUUUAUUACUAAAGUUCCAACGGUACAAGAUGAGCAUGCGUCCCAUUAGCUAGUUGGUGUGGUAACGGCAUACCAAGGCAACGAUGGGUAGGGGUCCUGAGAGGGAGAUCCCCCACACUGGUACUGAGACACGGACCAGACUCCUACGGGAGGCAGCAGUGAGGAAUAUUGGUCAAUGGGCGCAAGCCUGAACCAGCCAUGCCGCGUGCAGGAUGACGGUCCUAUGGAUUGUAAACUGCUUUUGUACAGGAAGAAACACUCCCUCGUGAGGGAGCUUGACGGUACUGUAAGAAUAAGGAUCGGCUAACUCCGUGCCAGCAGCCGCCGUAAUAC